rnacentral:piRNA from 1 species
UGUAGAAGAAUGCAUAUCAAUAAGGGC